GUGCCAGCGGCCGCGGUAAUACCGGCAGCCCGAGUGAUGGCCGAUAUUAUUGGGCCUAAAGCGUUCGUAGCCGGCCAGUCAAGUCUGUUGGGAAAUCCACGCGCUCAACGCGUGGGCGUCCAGCGGAAACUGUCUGGCUUGGGACCGGAAGGCGCGACGGGUACGUCCGGGGUAGGAGUGAAAUCCCGUAAUCCUGGACGGACCGCCGAUGGCGAAAGCACGUCGCGAGAACGGAUCCGACAGUGAGGGACGAAAGCCAGGGUCUCGAACCGGAUUAGAUACCCCGGUAGUCC
rnacentral:rRNA from 1 species